rnacentral:pre_miRNA from 1 species
UUUUUAGUAUAAGUAUGUCCCAUGCAAUUGUAGGGUCUGAGGAAUGUCAUAAGGCCAUAUUUGAGACAUAUUUAUACUAAAA